UUCUUCAGCAAACCACCCGCGCCUUCUCACUUCCUUCUCCCACUCUCUGCAGGUACAGGUUCGAACAAUGGUGGAAGAAGAUUCAUCGUUGAUGGAUUCUAUGAUCUCUUGUUGCAUUGCUUGUUCUUUUGAAUCACUAGCAGAUAAGGAACGUGGUUGCGCGCUUCAAAUGCCACCGCCUGGUCACUCCGGCCUACUGAGAUCUGCGGGAGCUACAUUUUGACCUUCCGACUUGUACCAGAUUUAUUGAUCGUCCUCAGAUAUCUGCCUGCAUUUGGAAUGACAUAAUAUUUCUCGUUUGUUGGGUGGAAUUGGCAAUCGGGAUGUUUUUGGUUGAAGUGUGGUGCUGAUUUUGUUUGUUCUUGAACUGCAAAAUAUCUGUGAUUUUACGCCAUGCCACUGAUUUUGCAAAAUGCAUAUCAUUGGGAUAUUUGCAAGGCAUUCAAGCUCUGAGAAGACAAGAUGUUUAUCUGUUGACGAACUUGUUUCACCAAAACUCCCAUUUCUUGACAGACUUCCGAGUUAGGUGAGGAACCCCUUAGGGAUCUUCUUCAACAUGCCAGCAGUUGUCACGGCAAACGAGGUUCUUUUUCUUUCUCUCUCUAAAAAAGGUUAAAGGGUGUUUGAAAUUGACUCUCAUGGAAUGAUAUUGUCUACUUAGCUCCGAGAUUUGUAGGUACCUAUGAGUAACAGCCUCUCCUAAUCGAGGCUUGACUCAUUUUCU